rnacentral:rRNA from 1 species
AUGAACGCUGGCGGCGUGCCUAAUACAUGCCAGUCGAGCGAACAGACGAGGAGCUUGCUCCUCUGACGUUAGCGGCGGACGGGUGAGUAACACGUGGAUAACCUACCUAUAAGACUGGGAUAACUUCGGGAAACCGGAGCUAAUACCGGAUAAUAUAUUGAACCGCAUGGUUCAAUAGUGAAAGACGGUUUUGCUGUCACUUAUAGAUGGAUCCGCGCCGCAUUAGCUAGUUGGUAAGGUAACGGCUUACCAAGGCGACGAUGCGUAGCCGACCUGAGAGGGUGAUCGGCCACACUGGAACUGAGACACGGUCCAGACUCCUACGGGAGGCAGCAGUAGGGAAUCUUCCGCAAUGGGCGAAAGCCUGACGGAGCAACGCCGCGUGAGUGAUGAAGGUCUUCGGAUCGUAAAACUCUGUUAUUAGGGAAGUACAAAUGUGUAAGUAACUAUGCACGUCUUGACGGUACCUAAUCAGAAAGCCACGGCUAACUACGUG